CAGCUCCAGCUCCCCCCCCAACGUACACUUCGGCUGCCCCCGCCCCACCACCACGGCCGCCGCCCCACCCGAUUCAAAUCUGAGCCGGCCAACCUCCCCGCACCACCACCAGAAGCAGCGGCAGCGGCAAUUACACUCCUGUCAGCCCCAGUCCAGCGCAGCCCCGCCGAACCUGCCGCCCAGAUCCGUCCGACCGACCGACCCCAUGGGCGCCGAGCCGGA
rnacentral:lncRNA from 1 species